rnacentral:rRNA from 1 species
UACGUAGGGUGCGAGCGUUGUCCGGAAUUAUUGGGCGUAAAGGGCGCGUAGGCGGCUUUUCAAGUGACGGGUGAAAUCCCUCGGCUUAACCGAGGAACUGCCUGUCAGACUGGAAGGCUUGAGACCGGGAGAGGUGAGUGGAAUUCCCAGUGUAGCGGUGAAAUGCGUAGAUAUUGGGAGGAACACCAGUGGCGAAGGCGGCUCACUGGACCGGAACUGACGCUGAGGCGCGAAAGCGUGGGGAGCAAACAGG